CCUACGGGUGGCUGCAGUGGGGAAUAUUGGACAAUGGGGGCAACCCUGAUCCAGCGAUGCCGCGUGUGUGAAGAAGGCCUGAGGGUUGUAAAGCACUUUAGUUGGUGAGGAAAUGCUGCGGAUGAAUAAGCCGUAGAUAUGACGUUAGCCAAAGAAUAAGCACCGGCUAACUCUGUGCCAGCAGCCGCGGUAAUACAGAGGGUGCAAGCGUUAAUCGGAAUGACUGGGCGUAAAGGGCGCGUAGGCGGACUGAUGAGUCAUAGGUGAAAUCCCCG
rnacentral:rRNA from 1 species